rnacentral:rRNA from 1 species
AGAAUCAACGCUGGCGGCGUGCCUAACACAUGCAAGUCGAACGAGAAAGUGGAGCAAUCCAUGAGUAAAGUGGCGCACGGGUGAGUAACACGUGACUAACCUACCUUUUAGUGGGGGAUAACCUAGGGAAACCUGGGCUAAUACCGCAUAAUACCUACGGGUCAAAGCAGCAAUGCGCUGGAAGAGGGGGUCGCGGCCGAUUAGCUAGUUGGCGGGGUAAUGGCCCACCAAGGCAGUGAUCGGUAUCCGGCCUGAGAGGGCGCACGGACACACUGGAACUGAAACACGGUCCAGACUCCUACGGGAGGCAGCAGUGGGGAAUUUUGCGCAAUGGGGGAAACCCUGACGCAGCAACGCCGCGUGGAGGAUGAAGACCCUUGGGUCGUAAACUCCUUUCGAUCGGGACGAUAAUGACGGUACCGGAAGAAGAAGCCCGGCUAACUUCGUGCCAGCAGCCGC